CGUGGGUAACCUGCCUGGUAGCGGGGGAUAACUAUUGGAAACGAUAGCUAAUACCGCAUAAUAGCAGUUAUUGCAUGAUAACUGUUUGAAAGGUGCAAUUGCAUCACUACCAGAUGGACCUGCGUUGUAUUAGCUAGUUGGUGGGGUAACGGCUCACCAAGGCGACGAUACAUAGCCGACCUGAGAGGGUGAUCGGCCACACUGGGACUGAGACACGGCCCAG
rnacentral:rRNA from 1 species